CGGCCGCGUCGACGUACGGUAGGUAUUGUCUAAGUCGUUUAUUCCGGUAAUUGUAUUUGGGUCGUUAAAGUCGUUCCGUCAGGUUGGUCAGUUUCAAGUCUGCUGUCAAAGACCGGGGCUUAACUUCGGAAAGGCAGUGGAAACUGAACAGCUAGAGUAUGGUAGGGGCAGAGGGAAUUCCUGGUGUAGCGGUGAAAUGCGUAGAGAUCAGGAAGAACAUCGGUGGCGAAGGCGCUCUGCUGGACCAUAACUGACACUCAGGGACGAAAGCUAGGGGAGCGAAUGGGAUUAGAUACCCCAGUAGUCCUAGCCGUAAACGAUGGAUACUAGGUGUUGUCUGUAUCGACCCGGACAGUGCCGUAGCUAACGCGUUAAGUAUCCCGCCUGGGGAGUACGCACGCAGGUGUGAAACUCAAAGGAAUUGACGGGGUCCCGCACAAGCGGUGGAGUAUGUGGUUUAAUUCGAUGCAACGCGAAGAACCGUUACCAGGACUUGACAUGUCGCGAAUCCAGUGGAAACACAGGAGUGCCUUCGGGGAGCGCGAACACAGGUGGUGCUAG
rnacentral:rRNA from 1 species